AAAAGCCAAUGAGCUUGCGUGAGCAACUAAAAAAUAAAAUAGCUGAUUUUGAAUUCUUUUCAUUGGCCCUCGAUAAGGCAAUUGAUGUAACGUGGGGUAGCACAGUUGGUUAUA